CUUGGUUAUCUAGUGGCUACAGUCCGCCUGUCACAGAGCCAGUGCAUGAGCACCCUGAGUCAGGGAAAUCUGGUGGUUUGGAUCAGCUGGGGACAGGGUUAACGACUAGGAACAGGUCAUCUACUGGGCAUAGUCAAAUUGGGACAGGGUCAUCUAGAGGGAAUGGCCAGUCUGGGGCAAGGCCAACAAAUGGUCAGCCUGGGCCUGAAAAAUCUGCUGGUGACAAUCAGUUUGAGGCAAGAUCAUCUGGAAGCAGUGGCCAGUCUGAUUAUGGGUCAUCUCAUCAUCUUAGUCAGUCUGAAACUAGACCAGUGAAUGGACGGGAUCAGCCUAGAGCUGGGUCAUCCGGUGCAUCAGGUCAGUCUAGGGCUGGUUUGAUGAGUGGUCAGCUUGAGCCUGGACCAUCUGAUGGCUCUGUUCAAUCUGGGGCUGAAUCAGUAGGAGGAAACAGUCAGCUUGGAGGAAAGGUAUCUAAUCAUGUUCAUUCAGGGACCUCAUGAUCCAUAGAUUCUGGUCAUUUAGGGGCAGGAAUAACUGUUGGCCACAGUCACUUUGGAAGUGGGUCACAUAAUCAUCAUGGCAGGUCUGAGGCUGGGACAUCCUUAGGUCAUGGGCAGUCAGGACAUGGCAACUCUGACCACCCUGGCUCCACUGGAGAAGUAAAAUGGGGAAACACUGGCCACAUGGGAACCCCAGUGGAUGGCAAGACUCCCCAUCAUGGGAGACCAGUUAACAGCAAUGCGUUGCUUCCACCAGCUCAUGACAGCCUAGGAGGAGGCACUGGAAUGGGAUCUGGAAACCCUCCCAGCCAAACAAAUGCUCUCAACAAAGACAUCUUGGCUCAGGAAGGGCUGCUGGGAGCCAUCCUUCUCAACAACCAGCAUCUGAUUAGGGAGCAUGAAAGUCUACUUAAGAUCCUCCUGGGCAGCAAGGCCUUACCUGCUGGCGAAGAUCACCUCCUGGAGGCAGCUGGGUCCUUGGCUCUGGAAGGCUUGCUCUGCAAGGGUUCUCUAGGGGGCGUCUGUGGCCAUGGGAGUCUUGAUGACAUCAAUGAUGUUCUAAAGAGCACGGUUCAUUUUGGGAAACUCAACAGCUGAUGUCCAGUCCUUUGGCUUGUUUAGGAACCUCCACUCUCCUUUCUCCAGGCUGCCCACAUCAUCUGAGCCGUAUUACUGCCUGGACUUUCAGAUGAGGAAACGGAGUCUUAGAGAGACUGCCUGGCCCACUCCCACACAGCUGGAAGGAGGCAGAGUGAGUUCGAACCCAGGUCUUCCGGUGAGAGCAAGAGGAGCUGGAAGACAGCACAUCUCUGUGAACAACCCGAGAAUCCCCGUGGGCGCGGAGGAGAGUCACGUGGAGCCAGAUGGGGUUACAAAGAAGGAAGAGCAAAGGGGUCAGAGCGGCCUUCGGUUCUUGCGAAAGUAUCUGCGGGGCCCUCAACACCCAAAGCCCCUGGCCCAGAAUCAGUGAUCCCGGGAGGCCUCCAGAUGCCAAAGGACCCACAGUGGGAGGCUCUCAGGAGAGAACCCCACCACGACUUUCCUUCCUUCAGGCAGCGAAUAGAUUCAGCUCACAUCUACGUGAAUCUGAUUUAUGCAAAUCUGAAACAGUGUCCUGCAAAAUACGAAUGAAGUUUCACGUUGUGAACAGAAAGUUAAUUUUUCUCAUUGUUAAGAACGCACAAUGGAACACGCUCCAGGCCCUCCUUUAUGGAAAAAUCAAGGUCCCUCCCUCAAGUCCACAAUCCCUCCAGUUUUCUCCUCCCCUCCCUCUACCGCUUCACAGCCAGUUUCCCCAGAGCGGGGGUUUCUCAGCCUGGAACAGCCUUCUCAGCCCCGGACUCUUGUAAAAAUGCAGCGUCUGGUCAGUUGGUCCGGGCUGCCGCCUAAGAUUCAACGUUUCCUCAAAACUUCCUGGAGAAGCUGAUACUGCUAGUCCACAGGUCACCCCUCAAGCAACACACUUGUUUGGGACACGUUCACACCUCCACCCACCCAUUUUCACUGGUCACCCUACCAACUCAGCGCUCAUCAGGCACUCAACAGUCUCCACGUGGAGGAAACCACGUGUCAGCCUCAUCUUACUUGAUCGCACUACAGACAUCACUUCCUUCUCCUUGAAAUCAGUCCUUCCCUCGGCCACGCCCCCUUGCCUGUUCUCCCACCCUGCUAAGCAUUCUACCUCUGCCCCUUUGCAGGCAUAAUGUUUUCAUAUUGGCCAAUCAGUGAAUGUCUUCACCCCCACCACUGUGAUUGGCUCAGAGCUUGGCAUAUGAUCCCAGCUGGACCAAUGGGGAUCAGACCUAGACUUUUGAAGGGAUAAUAGGAAAGAGAUAGUGCUCUUUCUGCCAGGGUUGUUAAGAGAGAAAGUGAGGCUGACGGCUUCUCUACUACCCUUUGGGGAGGGUCUGUUCGAGAAUGAAGCCACUGAAGAAGAAAGCAGAUCCAAGUCACAGAGAGAAACCGUCCAGAAACUUUCCUUUGAGCAUUUGGAUUCAGCCAUGUCUGAAACCCUUUGACCUUUGAGUUAACAUGAGUCAAUGACUCCCUUUUACACUUAAGUCAGUUUGGGUUGUGUUUUCCGUUACAAAUAACCCAAUAAUCCUGACAGAUGCCAUUGACAAGCAAAUUUCAGCUCAUUCUGUGUAAGCCAUCCUGGGAAACAAGAGAUGAAUCUCAGACUUUAGCCUCCCAGAAUUGAAAGUUGUGUGUGUGUGUGUGUGUGUGUGUGUGUGUGUGUGUGUGUGUAGAAAAGGAAGAGACCUAUUCAAAAGCUAUAAGGUAGAAAAUUAAGAAGGGCCAUCUGGGUGGAUCAAUGAGGAUUUCAUACGGGACGUGUUGUGAAGGAUCGGGGAGAUUUGCAGGGUGUGACAUCCUUAGACCUGGGACUGAGAAUGGGGAGCAGUUGAUGGAAAGCAGGGCUGGGA